GGGUCAGUAGGUUGGUCGUGCCACCGGUACGUACUGGUCUCACUGAUUCCUCCUUCCUGAAGAACCGUAAUGCCAUUAAUUUGGUGUUGCGGGGAAACAGGAGUGUUACUUUGAAAAAAUUAGAGUGUUUAAAGCAAGAUAACGCUUGAAUACAUUAGCAUGGAAUAAUGAAAUAGGACGAUCGAUCCUAUUUUGUUGGUUUCUAGGAUUGACGUA
rnacentral:rRNA from 1 species